rnacentral:rRNA from 1 species
UACAGAGGUCCCAAGCGUUGUUCGGAUUCACUGGGCGUAAAGGGUGCGUAGGCGGUCGGGUAAGUCUGAUGUGAAAUCUCACAGCUCAACUGUGAAACUGCAUUGGAUACUAUUCGGCUUGAGGUCUGGAGGGGGGGCUGGAAUUCUCGGUGUAGCAGUGAAAUGCGUAGAUAUCGAGAGGAACACCGGUGGCGAAGGCGAGUCCCUGGACAGGUCCUGACGCUGAGGCACGAAAGCUAGGGGAGCAAACAGG